AAAUCCACGAGCAUCGCUCCCGCAAAUGUUUCAUGUAAAAUUUUCUUUGUUUAAUCCAAUGGCAAAUAAAUUUGUUUUCAGUUCAAGAAAUUUUAUCAAUUACGUUAAUAAUUAGUCCUAACAUGAUUAUUUGAUUUUUUUUUAUUUCUUCAGUUCGUAUUGUUUGAACUAGUUUACAUGACGAGUAGUGCAAUGGGUCCAUAUAUUAUAUAUGAAUGGGAAUUUAUCACUAAUAUAUUAUAUAUAUGUCCAUAUAUUAUACUAUUCGUGGUCAAUAGCUGUAGCCAGGAGUGGCUCUCCUUGUUGAUAAACUGAAAUUAGCGCAAACCUUGAGGACAGGCAUGAAAAAAUGGGAACACGAGCAUGAUUUGUGAUGAGAUAUAAUAUAGUUGAACCCAUGCCUUGACUGAUUCAAUAGAAAGGAGGGAAAAAAGAAGGAAAACAGGGGCAAGCAAUAAAGAAGAAGCAAAUUAUAAUCAUGGCUUCUAUAGCUGAUCGGGAAGAAGAGACAAAUAAUUUUUCAUAUGCAAUGGAACUGGCAAGUGCCAUAGUGCUACCUGCAGCUAUGCAAGCAGUGGUAGAGCUUGAUGUGUUUGAGAUCAUAAGCAAAGCCGGUCCUGGUGCUAAGCUUUCGGUUUCGGAAAUUGUGGCUCAAAUUCCCUUAAAAGAUAAUAAUCCUGAAGCUGCAGCCAUGAUGUUAGAUCGGGUGCUGAGGCUUCUUGUCAGCUACAAUGCUCUUCAUUGCUCUUUUGUUGAUGGACAAAGGCUCUACUCUCUUGCUCCUGUUUCUAAAUACUUUGUUCGCAAUAAUCAAAACGGCGCGUCGUUGCGUCCCUACAUGGCCUUGUCUCUCGACAAGGUCCUCAUGGAUGGCUGGUAUACAGAAUUACUUUUUCUCUUUUCUUUUCUUUGCUAAUUUUGGUAAAUUAAGGAAAAUUAUCAAAACCUUCUAGUUGUCUAUAUAUAUAAAAAAAUUAAUCAUUUGCAUCUCAUGUUUUGAACCCAUCAAAAUCCGUCAGCUGCUAAAAAGACAGUUAUCUUCAAUUAUUUUACUUCUGUUGUGGUAAAAGACAAAAAAAGUUUAAAGUCCAAGCGUUUUUGAAAUAUGAAAGUAGAAAGGGUUGAUUGUAACAAACAAUUAAUAAAGUAUUCUUUAUCUUGGUUAAUUAUGCGGUCUAAUUUUACAAACUAAGCUUCUAAAAUUGUUACUAACUGUGUUUGGAUUUUGGAAAAUUCAGGUUUCGGUUGAAAGAGCAAAUUCUUGAAGGAGGAAUUGCGUUUAAUAAAGUGCACGGAAUGCAUAUCUACGAUUACAUGGGCGUUGACUCAAGAUUCAAUGAUGUUUUCAACAAUGGAAUGUUAAGCCACACUUCUGUUGUCAUGGAGAAGGUCCUAGAAUCAUACAAAGGCUUUGAGCAUGUUAAGAAGCUUGUCGAUGUUGGUGGCGGCUUAGGAGCUACUCUUAACAUUAUAAUUUCCAAAUACUCUCAUAUUAAGGGUAUUAAUUAUGAUUUACCUUAUGUUAUUAAAAAUGCCCCAUCUUACCCUGGUAUGUUACUUACAAAAUUUAUAUACUAUUUUUGUUAAUGAUUCAUUGAUGGGAUACACAAUAGCUAACAAAAAUUAUUAUUAUUAUUAUUAUUUUAAUUUCAGGCAUUGAACAUGUAGGUGGAGAUGUUAAAGUAUGAGCUUUAAACUGAAUUCCAGAAGAUCAACCGUCAUGUCAGUCUGUGGUAAUGUUGAUAUACGACAUGUCAGCUAUAAAGGAUACAAGCCUGUAUGACAAACUUUGGUCGUCAGCCAAAGCUUUAAGUGAAGCACGUAAAUGUCACGUGAUUCCACUUACUCUGAACGGCAUGAAAGAAUGUCGUUUUGGGGCUUGCUGUUUGUAAGGGUUUCAACACGUGUCCUGGAAGCUGUUAAAAUCAGUUAUUGCAGGCGGGAGAAUUCUGGGUUUGUAAGCUAACAAACCCAGAUUACAGCUGGUUGACAGGGGGUCUUUGUAACGGGCUCUAAGCUAGUAUAAAUAGUCUAAGGGACUGGGAAAUCAGAGAGGGUGUUGUUUGUAACUUCGUCUCUAAACUUGUAACUUGUUCUUGGUUAUUGAAUAAAAGCUGUUGCUCUGUUCUUCAGUGGAUGUAGGCUGCCUCCAGCCGAACCACUUAUAUUUGUUGUUCUUUGCAUAUUGUUUCUGGGUGAUUUAGAUGUGUGAAAUUGGUUUAACCUUUCUUGAAACAUUGAUUAGAGAGUUCAGCUAGAUCCUGGAGAUUCUUGAUUGGAUAAUAAUUCUGGUCUAGGUUCAACAAAUUGGUAUCAGAGCCUUAUCUCUGAUCUUUGAUCCAAGAAAUGGGAACCUCUAAAUUUGAGGUAGAAAAAUUCACUGGAGAAAACGACUUCCAUCUAUGGCGGCUCAAGAUGAGAGCUCUGUUGGUUCAUCAGGGGCUGGAGGAGACUUUGGGUGAUCCAAGAUCUGAAAAGAAACCCAGCAAGCUUUCUGAUGAUGAAAUGCGAGAUGCUUUGGAUAAAGCUCAUAGCACACUAAUCUUGAGUCUGGGAGAUGGAGUUCUCAGGGAAGUGGGAGAUCAAACAACUGCUGCAGGCCUCUGGAUAAAACUUGAAGACCUAUAUACCAAGAAGUCUCUAACCAAAAGACUUUGUACCAAAAAUAGGCUGUAUACUUUGCAAAUGGAGGAAGGAAGCUCUCUGGCAACUCACAUUGAUAGCUUUAACAGGAUCAUCCUGGAUCUUGAAGAUAUCAAUGUGAGUCUUGAGGAUGAAGACAAGGCAAUAAUCUUGUUAGCAUCUCUCCCACCAUCCUAUGAACACUUUGUAGAUACACUGCUCUAUGGAAGGCAGUCAAUAUCAAUGGCUGAUGUAAAGGACUCUCUUAGUUCUAAAGAAGUCACAAAGAAGACAGAAACAAGAGCUGGGGAAGGUCUGAUGGCAAGAGGAAGACCUGAGAAGAAAGAAUACAACAAAGGGAAGAAAAGGGACAAGUCAAAGUCCAAGAAUAAAAACCUGAAAUGCUUUCAUUGCCAUAAAGAAGGGCAUUUCAAAAGGGACUGUCCAGAUAGAAAGAACAAGGAUAAAGAAGGGCAUGGAAAGAAUGGUGAUGCUGCUGUUGCAUCCGAGGAUGAGGGCUAUGACUCAGCUGGUGUCCUUUUGGCCUCUGAAACUCAGACAAACAGUAAGUGGAUUCUUGACUCUGGAUGUUCAUAUCACAUGUGCCCUGAUCAAAAUCUUUUUACUACUUAUAAUGCUUUUAAUGGAGGUGAGGUUCUGAUGGGGAAUAACACAAUGUGUAAGGUUGUUGGGUUAGGAACCAUUAGAUUUAAGAUGUUUGAUGGGAUGAUUAGGGAGCUAAGAGAUGUAAGGCAUAUUCCUGAUCUAAAGAGGAAUUUAAUAUCUCUAGGCACUCUAGAUCAAGUUGGAUGCUCCAUUAAAGUUGAAUAUGGGGUAAUGAAGGUUGUUAGAGGGUCUAUAGUGGUUAUGAAAGGGAAUAAGCAAAAUGGCUUAUAUGUGCUUCAAGGCACAGCUGUAACUGGGGAUGUUAGUAUCUCAGCAAGUCUGGGUUUGGAUAAAACUCUCAUAUGGCAUCUAAGGUUAGGACAUAUGAGUGAGAAGGGGCUAAAAAUUUUAGAAAAACAGGGAGUCUUAGGGGAUGAUAAGUUGGGAUCUCUGGAGUUCUGUGAGGUAUGUGUCCUAGGCAAGUCCUCAAGAACUAGUUUCAAAACUGCAGUGCAUAACACAAAAGGGACCUUAGAUUACAUCCAUUCAUAUCUGUGGGGGCCAUCACAGACUGUCUCUUUAGGUGGAGCAAAAUACUUUCUCUCUUUUAUAGAUGAUUACUCGAGAAUGGUAUGGGUUUAUGUCUUGAAAGGCAAGGAUGAAGUCUUCGAGAGGUUUAAACAAUGGAAAGCAUUGGUAGAAACUCAGAGUGGUAGGAGGAUUAAGAGACUGAGGACUGAUAAUGGGCUUGAAUUCUGCAACAAACAGUUUGAUGAUUUCUGCAAACUCAAUGGCAUAGCAAGACACAAAACAGUGAGUUACACUCCACAGCAGAAUGGGCUAGCAGAAAGAAUGAAUAGGACUUUGAUGGAUAAAGUCAGAUGUUUACUGAUCCACUCAAAGCUUCCUCAAACACUGUGGGCUGAAACCUUGAUGACAGCAUGUUAUCUAGUGAAUAGAAGCCCAUCCAGUGCCUUAAACUUCAAGACACCAGUAGAGAUGUGGUCAGGAAGGGCAGCAAAUUAUUCAAAUCUAAAGAUCUUUGGUUGUCCAGCAUAUGCACAUGUCAAGCAAGGGAAGCUGGAGCCAAGAGCACUGAAAUGUGUAUUCCUGGGUUAUCCUGAAGGUGUCAAAGGUUAUAAACUAUGGUGCACUGAAAUGAGGCCACCAAAGUGCAUAGUCAGCCGAGAUGUAGUCUUCAAUGAGUCAGAGAUGUUAAUGAAAGGACAUCAAAAGGAUCCUGCUAAACUAGAAGGAGGACUUGACUCACAGGGACAACAUUUGAAGGUGGAGUUUAAAGGUAAAUCAGCUCUGGACUACCAUGAUGAAGCUGAAGACAUGGAGAGAGAAGAUGCUGAAGAUAUCAGUGAAGCUUCUGGAACUCAUACAGAUAUUCAAGACUAUCAGCUGGCAAGAGACAGACAAAUGAGAGUUAUUAAAACACCUAAGAGGUUUGCAUAUGCAGAUUUGAUUGCAUAUGCUCUAACAGCAGCCCAUGAAUUAGACAAUGAUGAGCCCAAAACCUACAGAGAAGCUGUUUCAGGAAAGGAUGCAGAUAAGUGGAUAAAAGCUAUGAAGGAUGAAAUGGAGUCAUUACACAAAAAUAACACCUGGAAGCUUGUAAAAGGGCCAGAAAAUAAAAAGGCAGUAGGCUGUAAAUGGGUUUACAAGAUCAAGCAGGGUAUACCAGGGGUUGAAUCCAUGAGAUAUAAAGCUAGGCUGGUUGCCAAAGGCUACACACAGAGGGAGGGGAUUGAUUUUACAGAAGUCUAAUCACCUGUAGUUAGGCAUACCUCAAUAAGACUGAUCCUAGCUCUGGUUGCAGUUCAUAACAUGCAUCUUGAACAGAUGGAUGUUAAGACUGCAUUUUUACAUGGUGAGCUUGAAGAACAAAUAGUAAUGUCUCAACCUGAAGGCUUUGAAGACCAGUCAAAUGGUGAUUGGGUAUGCCUUCUGAAGAAAUCACUUUAUGGCCUCAAGCAGUCUCCAAGACAGUGGUAUCUCAGGUUUGACAGCUUUAUGAUAAAACUUUGUUUUCAGAGGUGUAAUCUAGACUGCUGUGUUUACUACAAAGAGAUAUCAGGGGACAUGGUUUAUCUGAUUCUGUAUGUGGAUGACAUGCUUAUUGCCAGCAAAAGCAUAGGACACAUAAAUUUUCUGAAACAACAACUCAAAGGUGAAUUUGAGAUGAAGGAUCUGGGACCAGCUAAGAAGAUACUUGGAAUGCAGCUAAUUAGAGAUUGGAAAUCUGGCACCUUGUUUCUUACACAGGAAGAUUACAUCAGGAGAGUACUUGAUAAGUUUGACAUGACUACUGCCAAACCAGUGCAAACACCAUUACCAGCCCAUUUCAGAUUAUCAGAACAACAGUGCCCAAUAACUGAUGCUGACAAGUCUGAAAUGAUAAAAAUACCUUAUGCAAGUGCUGUAGGCUGCUUAAUGUAUGCUAUGGUACUCACCAGACCUGAUAUAGCACAUGCAGUCAGUGUGGUCAGCAGGUAUAUGUCUAAUCCUGGAAAAGAACAUUGGAAGGCUGUAAGGUGGAUACUCAGGUAUCUAAGGGGAACUUCUGGGCAUGGUCUGAUAUAUAGGGGACAGAGAAGAGAUGGCAGUUUAAUUGUGGGAUAUGUGGAUGCUGAUUAUGCAGGGGACUUGGAUAGAAGAAGGUCUUUAACUUGCUAUCUGUUCACAUUCAACAAUUGCACAAUAAACUGGAAAUCACAGCUACAGAGUGUAGUGGCUUUGUCCACAACUGAAGCAGAGUACACAACUGCUGCUGAAGCCAUAAAAGAGGCAAUAUGGCUGAAGGGUAUGUUGAAGGAGCUUGGAGUCAAUCAGAGGUCUGUGGUGAUACAUUGUGAUAGCCAAAGUGCUAUAUGCCUAAGCAAGAAUCAAACACACCAUGAAAGAACCAAACACAUUGACAUUAAGGUGCACUUCAUCAGGCUGGAAGUCUCAAAAGCAACUGUAAUGCUUCAGAAAAUCCAUACAGAUGACAAUGUUGCAGAUAUGUUGACUAAAGCUGUUCCAGGAGCUAAAUUCAAAUUCUGUUUGGAUUUGGCUGGCAUCUGUGAUAAUUGAAAUACAGAUGGUAGAAGAGAAGAGUAGCAGGUCAUGAGAGUUUCAAGCUCAAGGUGGAGAAUGUUAAAGUAUGAGCUUUAAGCUGAAUUCCAGAAGAUCAACCGUCAUGUCAGUCUGUGGUAAUGUUGAUAUACGAUAUGUCAGCUAUAAAGGAUACAAGCCUGUAUGACAAACUUUGGUCGUCAGCCAAAGCUUUAAGUGAAGCAUGUAAAUGUCACGUGAUUCCACUUACUCUGAACGGCAUGAAAGAAUGUCGUUUUGGGGCUUGCUGUUUGUAAGGGUUUCAACACGUGUCCUGGAAGCUGUUAAAAUCAGUUAUUGCAGGCGGGAGAAUUCUGGGUUUGUAAGCUAACAAACCCAGAUUACAGCUGGUUGACAGGGGGUCUUUGUAACGGGCUCUAAGCUAGUAUAAAUAGUCUAAGGGACUGGGAAAUCAGAGAGGGUGUUGCUUGUAACUUCGUCUCUAAACUUGUAACUUGUUCUUGGUUAUUGAAUAAAAGCUGUUGCUCUGUUCUUCAGUGGAUGUAGGCUGCCUCCAGCCGAACCACUUAUAUUUGUUGUUCUUUGCAUAUUGUUUCUGGGUGAUUUAGAUGUGUGAAAUUGGUUUAACCUUUCUUGAAACAUUGAUUAGAGAGUUCAGCUAGAUCCUGGAGAUUCUUGAUUGGAUAAUAAUUCUGGUCUAGGUUCAACAUGAGACUUGUUUGAAAGUGUUCUUGAGACAGAUACCAUUUUCAUGAAGGUUAUAUGUGUGUGUGUGUGUUAUUUGAAAUUAUCGUUAUAAGGAAAAAUUGAUUUAGGGUGAAUCACACUUUUCUCCCUAAUAUUUUGUAGAUUUACCUUAACCUGUUACUCACUUGAUAUUAGAAUUUUCCCAAAAACACUUAAAAGGAAUACCAAAAUAUUAUGAAAACUGUAAAAAAAAAAAAGGUUAAUUCACUGUAUACGUAUGUUUUGUUCUAUAACAUAAAUUGAUCAUAUAUAUUCAGAUUAAUAGAUCUAAUGAGAAUUAACAUGAAUAUUAAACUUUUGCAGUGGGUCCUUAAUGGUUUUGAUGAUGAGCAGUCCUUGAAAUUGUUGAAAAAUUGUUACAAAGCUCUUCCGGAUGGUGGGAAAUUGCUUAAUGUUAAUGCAGCAUUUCCAGAAGUGCCUGAGAAUAGCGCGACUUCAAGGGAGAUCUCCCUCUUGGAUACAAUUUGUUUAAUCCAAGUUCCUCAUGGAAGAGAGCGGACCAAACAAGAAUACAGUGAAUUAGCAAUCAAAGCUGGAUUUAAAGGCGUCAACUACGAAUAUUGUGCAUGCAAUUUAUAUGUUAUGGAAUUCCUCAAAUAAUAAAUUGCUUUAUUUGUAUUAGGAAAGGUCUUCUCAACUCUGUUUGGGGAGUCACCAAUUUCUGGUUUGUGUUACUUAAUUUUUCUUCUCGUUUGGCCUUAGCGCUUCUCUUAUGUACUCUUUUUCAUUCUAUGAACAUUUGUUUCUUUAAAGGAGAUUGACUGCUUUAACAUAGCUCUUAUGCACUCUUCUCCAUUUUAAUUUUUAUCGAGGAAAAAAAUAGUGUAUUCAUCUUACUUUGUUAUUUUUUUUCUUUUCCUGGUUAUUUCAAAGUUAUGUUGUGCAAAAAUCAGCAAUAUAUAAUUAAUAAUUUAAAGUAAUAAAGUUUGAUUUUUGAACGUAAUAAAAUACACAGUAAAUGAAUCAAAUGAAGUCUGAAAAUAUAUUGAAAAUGGAUUAUAGAGAUAUUAAUUUUUUAUUAAACAACUACUGAGAGCUAAUGAUGUAGAACGUUAUUUUAGGAAUUUUAAAAUUUUAAAAUUUUAUUAUUUUAGGAUUUUCUAUUUUAAUUAGAGUCAAUUAUGAUAUUCUAUUAUUUUAAAACUUUCUAUUUUCAUUAUAGUCAAUUAAAGUAUGAGAUUUAGUUAACUUAGGAAAGUAUCUUUUAUUUUCAUUUUAGAUUAUGAUUUAGUUUUUUAUUUUUAAAUUAGCUUAGGGAAAUUAUAUUUUAAUUCCAUUAUAAUUGUGAUUUAGUUUUCUUUUUGAGUUAAUUUACGGAAGUGAGUUUUCUUUUAAUAUAAAUAUUAAAUAGAGAGGUCUUGUCAUUUUUUUAGACUCAAUUAUUCUAUAAAUUUUAUUACAAAAUUUAUUUUUUCUAUCUUCUUUACAAUUCCACUUCGUAAGCUACUAUAGGUCAAAGGGGUUAAAAAAAUAGUAGAAGUCUUUCGAAACAAGUCACAUAUGACAGACACAUCAGAACUAGAAGUAAAUAAUAUAGUUUGCACAGGCAAAAGGAUUUCCAGCGUUUCGUCAAAGGCACAAUUGACCCAACGCCUGAUUGACCAAAACAAGUAGUUGAUUAUUGUAAUGGAUCCGCCACCAUACCAUAAAUUUUAUCUUUAUUCAACAAAGCCGUUGGAUGCAUUUUUGUUCAGUCUAACGACUGAAAUUAUUUAUUGGAGAAUUGAUGCAGCAACUUACAACCGUUGCAACGGUUUGUAUAUUAAUCUAAUUGCAUCAACGCGUUUUCCAAAAAUUUCUCAGCACUGCAUUAACAACACUAUUUCAUCUGAAAAUCGAUCUGGAGAUAGCAAUUAACAAACAAAAUUGGAACUGGAGGAUCAGAUUUUUUUGUUGUGAUUAAACAUUUGUGAUGAUUCGGUACAUGGAUAUGUUCUUUCACUUGCAGUCAAGCGAUGACGAAAUUAUAAUCAUCGCGGGGAAGUGCAACCAAAAGCUAGGGGUGAUGAAAGUUUAGGCAUAUAUCAAAUCAGAGUGAAUCUCGCGUCACUUUAAUCCGUUCUUGUGCCGAUUGAAUCACCCGAGGCAGUAAGUAAUUCCUUACUAAAACUAGUAAUUUUUUUUUUUUUAUUUGAAGAGAUUUAAAACUUGUAAUUACGAUUGGUUGAACACUUCACAAAUGAGUUAAUUGAACAAUUGGUAAUGGGGUGAUGUGAGGAAGUCUCCCGGGGCUAUGGCUGAGCUGAGGAAGCAAGUUGGAUGUAAAAUGAAAUUCUUUGUGCGAACACAAUGGAACCAAUAUCAGUUCAAUCUCUAUAUGAUAGAGUUCAAGUAUAGAUUUUACUAUUUGAGGUACGUUUUAAGUUCAUAAUCAAAAUUUACAUUUUUUGAAACAACCAUUUGUUGUAUGAUGGGUGAGGAACAAUAACAUUAUCAAUUCCCUCAGGCUAAAGGACACUACAGCCUUCUGUGUUAAGCCGUUUGCUUCAAUUUUCCAUUUCUAAUUACAGCUUCUUUAUCGUCAACACCAUCCUUAACCUUAAGUAAGCUUUUUUCUUUUAUUAUUAUUAUUGUUGUUGUUGUUGUUGCCUGAUUCAUUGAACUUUUCCAAUUUUGAAGUCGGUUAGUGAUGCUUUGAGCAAAUUUGGGAUCACAUUCGUUAAUUCGUUUGCUUUACAUGUUAAUAAAUAAUAGAGCAAUUUUAAAACUGCAUGUAACCUGUUUGAAAAAAUUUCUUCUAUAGAUAACUUUUUUUUCCUAGUCUAUUGGUUGUGAAUAAUGUUGUGAAGUUGAUAAAAGAUGGGAAUUCUUUAGUUUUGAUUUUACUCUUUGAGGAACUAUAGAACAUGACAAAUAGAGUUUGUUGUGUGAGGGGCACAUGUUCUCUCACAAGUGCUUGGUUCUUUAAUAUACAAAUAUAAGACACCUUAUGAUGAAAAAUGGAGUUGAUAAACUGACUCCAGACUAUCUGACCCAUUACAUUUUGGAUUUCGAUUCUUAGAUGAGAUUCCUCUUUCCAUUCUUUCAAUUUUCAAAUUUACUAGUGGCACUUUCAUUUGGUAAACUACACACACACACACACACACACAUACAGAUAUACACUAAUCAAUUAUAUUGACUUAUUUUCGUUUUCUUUUGAUUCAUGCUGCCGAUAUAUAUAAAAUUUUAUUUGUCAAAUUUAGAGGAGAAUUAGUUUUGCUACAUAUAGAUAAUGAACCCAAAUAUGUUUACAUGCAUGUCUGGGGUUUGUUUUAUCUUUGAGGAGCAGCAUUACCCAUCAAAAGUUUGAAGAGCUCUGUGAACUUAAGCAUUCGGGGUUGAAAAUGGAUAAGAUAUAUGCAGUGGAGUUAAUUAGAAGAGCUACUAGAGUGCCAAAGUUGCAGGUUUUCUCUAUCCUCUUUGUUUUGGUAGUUACCUGAGUAUUAAAUUCUUGAGGCCGGUAAGAUGGUAGACUUUAGCUCAAUUUAAGAGUAGAAAAUAAUAUAUGUUUACUUGUGUUAGUCUUAAUUUUUAAUCACUUAGCCUCAAAUAAGAAAUUUUUUAUGUUUGCUCUGCAAUGAUGUUAUUUAGUGUUAAUAGCUUUAUUUUGUUACUAUUUGUCUACACAGAUUCUUGUUCUCAAAAGACCUUUUACUUUAAAUAUUUGGCAUAAGGACAAUCUCAUUUAAUACCAUCAAUAAUUUUCAUUUUUUCUCAUUAGUUUUAAUAUGUUUGAUAACUGUAUGGUUAAGCAAUCUAUGCAAUGUUAUCUUGUCAUUAGUUUGAGCUCAUUUUUUAUUACAAUUAUGAAUAUUUGUUAUGAAUGAUAUCAUACUGGAAAAUAUUGUUAACUUGUUAAUUUCGUAAAUGUGAUAUCUUGUCAAAGUGACUAAUAGCAUUUCAUCAUGCUAUGAGUUAAACAUGGAACAAAUGAUGACAUACAGUUGUGGAAUGUGGCAGAUCUCCAGGACUCUUAUGUGCUCAUGCUUGCAGACGUAUAUUUUUGCUGCAUACUUUUAGGUUCGAUGGCUUUCAUUUCUAAUUGAAGUGUAUUUGAUUGCGGUGCAACGUGGGGUGACUUAUGUUGUCUUAUACAAUGAAAUGAGUGAUUACAUAAUUUAGGAAAAGCUCGAGUGUGGGUGAACGAUAUAGAGUGCUAUAUGAGUUAUGCUAACUGUUGUGACCUUGAUUUUGUAUUAUUGUUUGCAUUGAUUUUGGUUGAUAAACAAAUGUGUGGUGGAUCAUGGAUGGAUGUAUGGAUGAGGAUAAUAAAUAAAUGAAAAUAUACAUCAGACACAAGCAGAUAAAUUAAGGGUAAUGGAACUUGAUUGAGGUUAGUACUUCUUCUACUACAAAGCAAAUCAUCACCCACAGAAAUUCGUACAAGCAUGUUUCUGUUGGCAAGUUUAGCAGAUGGAGACAACAUAGGAGCUAUACGCACCAUUAUCUAAAAGAAGCAAAGUAAUGUUGUGUUUAUCAAAGUUUUCAAAUUAAUGAUGUGCUCGUCAAGAUUUUACACGUAACAAAUUAGACUGAAAUUUAACCGUCAUUUACAAAGAAGUUUGAUUUAUUCACUAACCGCAAACAAGUACAUGCUGCUUUGUUUGCUGUUUGUAGAAAAUUGAGUCACGUCGACUAAGUUCUAACAAUAAACAUUAGUAAAGCUUUUUAUAUAUCCUUAUUGGCACCUCUUUCAAGAAAAAAGAUAAUGUAGUCCAUAAUGUAUGCAUUAAGUUGUGUUUAUUUGCUAGAGUAAAAGUGAGGAGAGUAGAUUCAUUCUAAUUUAACAUUUAUUUGCCCAUUUAAAGAGGAGAGUAAGUGUCUCACUCUGUGUGUCUCUCUCAUUUUUUUGAAUGAAGAGUGAGAUUCCCAUUGUUAGGAGAUGAGAAUGAGAAUCUACUUUUACUUUUUUUUUUUUACUCUUCCCUUAUUAAGUAUAAUAUAAUUAUACUUAUUAAAAUAAAAUAAUAUUAUAUUUAUUUAAAAAUAAUAAUAUUAAUAAACUUAUUUAAAUAUAAUAUUAGUAUAUUCAUUGAGAAUUAAUAAUAUUACUAUAUACUAUCUUUAUUUGAAAAUAAAUAUUAUUAUAUUUAUUAAAAAAAUAAUAGUACUAUAUUUAUUUAUAUUUAAUAUUUAAUAAUAAUAAAUAGUUGAUUCUAAAAAAUAUUAAUAUUUUACUAUAUUAUUAAUAAUAAUGUUUCAUUUGUGUUGCUCUUGUCAAUAGUUUUUAAUUUACUUAUUUAAAAUUAUAAUAAAAUUAAUAAAAAAGUUAUGAUUUACAUAAUUAAAAAUAUUAAUAACUAUUAUUAAUGAAAUAAAUAGUUAUUUUAAAAAUAUUUUUUUAUUCAUUUUGCAAUUAAAACUACAACUCUAUAAAUGAGGGUAAAAUUAUCAUGUAAAUUAAUUCACUCUUAAUUCAAGACAAAGUAAACACAUAAAUGAAAUUUUGAUUAUAAAUUGGAUUCUAAUUCUUAUUUCACACCCGCAAUAUAGGUAAAUAACCUAUUUUUACUCCUACUUCACAUCUCCAUUCUAGGAUUUCAACUCCCUAAGAUUCACACUUCAAUUUGGGAAGUAGACGCUGCUUAAAUGUCAAUGUCAUAAGUCUAUCGAACUGAUAUAUAAAUUCCUCAUCAAAUAACUUCAACGAUUCUUUACAAAUCAUUUUAGGAAAUUACUACUGAUCACUAGCUUUUGAUUCCAUCUCCUUCUAAAUUGCUAAGACAAAUUUGUUUCCACCUUUAAAUAGUUAGUAACCACUGUGCAUAUUUAUCUAACCUUAAGGUUGCUACUGCAUCCAACCAGAUAUUGUUACCCACCACCAUAGUUUUCUUACACCCACAUUUACCUUUUAACAACCUACUUGACCGGUAUGCAUAUAUCUAACGUGGCCAUCUUGAAAGACGUUGGAUCGCUUUGGAUUUUAAAGCAACAGUUAGUUGGAAUAACGAAAGAAUUUGAGGUACCUUACCAUAGUUGCAACAUAGGCGAGUCCGAUUGUAAUUAUUGUGAAUAUAGUCCUUUCUUUUACAACGCGUUAAAUAUGUUUAUAUAUUUUGUAAAAAGUCAAGCAAUGAGAUGAAGGGAACGAUUAUUGUUUUCACCAUAUCAGGUAUCUCAAAUAUUUUUCAUGUUCUGUGUGCCUUCUAGAGGUGCACGGUGAUGGGUGAAAAGAGGAAAAUGAAAAAACAUAAAAACAAAAUUAUAAGUUCCUUUAAUGAGGGGUCGUUUUGGUUCGAUAUGUGUUGGAAAUUUUUUUUGGGUGCCAACUGUCGCUAUCUCCGACUUCAAAAAUUGUCUUGUAAUAUUAAUAUAGGCCCCAAGCCCCCAACCACUUUGCCUCUGUGAUUAAGAACCUCAUUCUUUGCCUUUUAGCUAACCCACCGCUGCUGUAAAAGUCAAUGAUUUUGUUUAUUUUUUUGUGUCAACUGAAUUGAAAGCUUUGUCCACUUUUAGCAAAGUCCCAUAAUGGGUUCAACUACGUUACGGCAGUGGCACGUAUCAUUUCUUUUUGUCUUCUGUGACAAGUUUUCAUAUAACCUCUUCUACUCAUUUUUAUUUAAUAUUUAUUCUAUAAGUAUUAAGUUAAUUUCUAUCUACACUUACAGCUACAUUUCGGUCAGCUCUUUAUACUAUUUUAUAUUUAUAGAUUUUUUGUUCAAUGUUGCACAUGUAUCACAAUGCCCCCUCUUUAUUAUUUUGAAGUUAAAUCAUUGACAUGUUUAAUUUAAAACCUUACACUCCUUUUUAAUUAUAAUUUUUUUUAAUUAUUAGGGUAGUUUUUUACAUUUGCUAUCACUUAUAUACUCUUUUUAUUUUGAAUUUUUUUUAUAGAUAUUAUGAUACUUUUUUCUUGUAUUCAUAACAAAUUAUAUAAUCCCAAUAGUUCUAUUACAAAAGUAUUAUAUUUUUUCACACUCUUAUUUUUAUUAUGUUAUUUAAUUCAAUUAUUUUUAUAUUAUGGGUGCAUUUAUAAUUGUUUUUUGCUAUAUUCGACCUCUAGACUCGUGAUUUUGUUAGUAAUCACCUGCUGUUUACUGUUAUAUUUUCAAUUAGACCAAUAAUAUUUUCUAGGUUUUGUAUGGUUUAUUAUGUAGUUUUUCAUAUAAUCAUAUACUUGUUUUACCUUGGUCUGGAUUUGGAGAUUUUGCAAUAUUUAUGGACACAUGGCGCAUUGUAAGUGGCUAUAGAUUUUAGAACUUACAAGAUAUAUUAACUAAUAUUAUUUAAAUUUAUUAAUAAAAGAAACUUAAGUAAUUAGUAGAUAUAAUUAUUAUUAUUAGAAAAUUUUAAUUUAUUAUAAUUUAAUUUGAUCAUCAACUACUAACCGUAUUAUGCAAACAAUGGGGCAAAUCUUAGUGUUAGCAUUAUUAUAAUUAUUACUGUUAACUACAAUUUUAUGUGAACUUGAGUAGCUAGAAAAUAUAAAUAAGAAUUAGUUUGUAUUUCUCCUUUCUUUUGAUUGGUGAUUUAUUUCUACUUUCUCACUAGUAAUAUGCCAGAUAGAAGAAUAAUUAAGAAUUGCAGAUUCACAAGGGUUGGAAUUAGCAUUGAUUUUGUAAUGAAUUUUUAUGAUUAAUUUGAUUGUCUAUAUAUAAAGCAUAGACAUGCGGUUGCAUAGUUAUAGUGGUUUAUUUAAGCAAGGAAAAAUUAAUAGGCCAGUGGAUUUGGUAUUAAUUGGUUGAAGUAUGUAUGUAUACAUAUCCCAUCUUUUCAAUGUCACCACUACCUGUUUUUUCUCCUUUAAUUUGACAUUAUAUUAUUAAUUUUUUUUUUAACUAUCUAUGAAGGAUAAGAAAUUUUACUAAAUUAUAGUUCAAUAUAGCCUAAUGAGAAAAAAAAUAAGGCAAUACAACCUAAUACAACAAAUAAUGACGAACUAAAUGCACCCAUAAGAUAAGAAUACUUAAAUUAAAUAAAAUGAUAAAAACAACAGUACAAAAGAAAUUACAAUAUUUUUUGUAAUAGAACUAUUAGGAUUACAUAAUUUGCUAUGCAUGUAAGUAAAAAGUACUAUAAUAUUUAUUAAAAAAAAAUUGUAAUAUAAAGAGUGUAAAGUAUUAAAUGAAAUUUGAGAGUAGAUUUAAAAAAAUCCUAAUACUUAAAAAAAAUGUUUAAGGUUCUAAAGUAAACAUGUCAAUUAUUUAAUUUCAAAAUAGUAAAGAAGGGGUAUUGUGAUACAAGUAUAAUAUAGAAUAAAAAUUCAUAAAUAUUAAAUAUGUAAGGUGCUAAUUGAAAUGUGUAUGUGAAUGUAGGUAGAAAUUAACUUCAUAUUUAUGAAUCAAAGUUUAAAUACAAAUGUGUGGAAGGGGUUAUACGAAAAUUUAUAAUGUACCGCCACAAAAGACAAAAAUAAAUGGUAUGGUACUACUAAUGCAACAUAGCUGAACCCUAAUUUUAAAAAAAAGUAUUAAAAAUUGUGACUAAUUUUAGUUUACACCAGCUGGAAUUUGUAGAAGCAAAUGCCAAUCAUGCCUGGUGUGCAAUUAAUAAUGUGGGCGAAGACAAUUUGGGAGCUUGGAACUCUCCAAACUCCAAUGAGAUAAUAAAAUACGUUAGUUAAUAAAACUAACUAGCAAGUAGCAAGCACACAUUAUCAUUUUAUUUUGUAUAUGAAAAUUUGACACUCUUUAACAUUGUGUUUUUUCGUUUAUGUUUAUUAUGAGCUCGACUUUUUGUUCAUGAAAAUUUGACAUUCUUUAACUUUGGCGGGUUGGUAAGUGUAUAACGAGCUACACUUAUUUAUUUAUUUGGAAAAAAGACACAUAUUUACAUUUGAGAAAAUAAUCAUAAAGACAUCUAAAUUUUUAAAAAGGGACUCCAAAUCUCCUUUUUAAUUAUAAUAUCCUUUGGUUUAUAAUUGAAAAGUUGACUUUAAAAUUUUUUAAUUAAUACAAAUUUAAUAUAUGUAAUAUAAUCUAUCUAGUAGACUAAUAAUAUUAAAUUAUUUUUAACAUUUAAUAUAAUAUUAAAAAUUUAAAUUAUUACAUUUAUUUUAAUAAUACAUUUUUAUUUAUUAUAAAGAUUUAAAAAAUCUCUGUAUUAAAUAUAUUUUGCAAUUAACAGAAUAUAUCCAUGUUAAUAAUAAUAAUAUUAUUAUUUUUUCAUAAUAUUCGAAAUAAUUUUAAUCUUUUAUUCUAAUAUUAUGUUUCUAUCUAUUAUUAAAAAUUACUUUAAUUAUAAUAUAAUUGGUCUAAUAUAUUGUAAAAUAUUAAAAUUAUUUUAAAAUGUCGAUAUUAUUACAUUUAUUUUAAUGCCACAUUUCUAUUUAUUAUAAAAUUUUAAGGUCAAUUAUUUUGGGUUUAUAAAGUCAAAGGGUAUUAUUAUAAAAAAAAAGCCUUGAUGUCCCUUAUUAAAAACUUGAGGUUCUUGUAAUCAUUUUCCAAAACUAUGGAGGUGUAUGUGUCCUUUGUUGUAUUUAUUUUUAUGAAAAUUAAAGUUUUUUUUUUAAAAAAAAGAAUCCAAUGAAUUCAAUCUUCAAAGAGUGUGAGAAUCAAAAGCUUAUUCUACGGUUAUUGCUAAAUAUGAUAGAAGAUAAUUGACGUAGUUGUUAUCUAGUACUAUGUCAAUCCCAGAUUGAAUUUGGUUUAAUAUUCUCCAAGAGUGAUAGUGUAUGCAAAUGUUUCAUUUUAAAUUUUCUUUAUUUAAUCUAAUGGCAAAUAAAAUUUUCUCCCAUCCGUAUUAACAGAUUCGAACAAAUAUUUUGUUUUUAGUUCAAGAAAUUUUACCAAUUAUAUAUGUUAGUAAUUAAUAUAAGAAGAAUUACUAAUUUACAAGUUGUGUUAAGUUUUUGGACUGAGAAAACUAAGGUAGUAUUUGUUCUUUUAUCUAAAAUCUGGAUGGAUUUGAAUAUAAUUGAAGUCUGAAUGGAUCUGAAUUCAUGUGUAAGAAUAAUAUGCUUGUUUUUUUUAUUUUUUGACAUCAAAUGUAGCAGUAAGUUAUUUAUUUUUAUAAACUCAAAAUAUCUUAAAUAUAAUAUUUUUAUACUUAUGAUCUUGAAAGUGUUAUGUAUACUUGAAAUUUUUAAUAGGUAUAUAUAUACAGUGUUUUCUUAACUAAAUAAGUUCAUGCAAUUGAUUGUUGUUAUUAUCGAAUAAUCAUUUUUAGGUUGCCUUUAUUAGUUUAACACAAUGCUACUUUGUCAAAAAAAAAAAGUUACCAUUAUUAUUAAUAGGUCGGCGGCGAUCAUUUUUUUGUUUUUUAGCUCACUGAUAAUUGACAUGGAAUAAGAUGUUUUAGAUAUAUACGAUAUAUUUUACAUAAUCACACGUACUCGUACCUUUUAAAAUACUUAUCAUAAUGUCAAAUAUUUUUAUAUUAUUAUGAAUUGUUGAAAAAUUAUUUUAGAACAAUAUAAAAAUAUCUGUAUACAUGGUAGUCAAACAACAAUUUGAGCAUUGCUAUUAUUUUCCGAAAAUAUAGCUAAGUUUUCUGAAUGAAUAGUGUCCCUUGGAUUCGGUUGGAUUUGAUGCCGUACGACAGAAUUGCUGUGGCCGGAGGGUAAUGUAGUCGCACUGGGCAAACAAUAAUUGACAUUUCACAUUCGGCUAUUUAUGAUGUAGGCCCAACUAUAUGUGUCCAACUUUGGAGGCUGGUAGGUAUAUGAUAUAUCCAAUUAAUAAGCUCCGCUUAUUUAUUUAUUUUUAUAAAAAUUCAAAUUUUUUUCCCCUAAAAAUAUCCGAUGGAUUCAUUCUUCGAGGAGUGUGCUAAAUAUACAAGGGAGCUUGCUAACUUACAGAUUCUGUAAGUUACAGCUCACUCACAAAUUUGAUUGUGGUUCCCACUCGGGCCCACAGCCAAUACUAUUUAACACUAUUCAUGUGAGGGUUGUUACUUACAGAAUCUGUAAGUUAGCCCUUUCCAUAUACAAGAUGAUAGUUGGUAGUUAUUGUCUAGUAAUAGAUCCCAGAUUGAAUUUGAUUUAAAAUCCAGGAGCAUCGCUCCCGCAAAUGUUUCAUUUUAAAUUUUCUUUGUUUAAUCCAAUGGCAAAUAAAUUUUUCUCCCAUCCGUAUUAACGGUUCGAACAAAUAAUUUUAUUUUCAGUUCAAGAAAUUUUAUCAAUUAUGUUAAUAAUUAGUACUCACAUAAUUAUUGUUGGGAAGUUUAUGGAUAAAACAAAUAUGUAACUAAAGUGAAAUUGAGAAAUAAUGAAACACAAAAUCACACAGGUACAUCAUAAAUGACGUGAUUCUGCUUUUAGUCUACGUUCACGGGCGAAAAUAGAUGAAAAAUAUUUUACUAAUGAAAAUGAGUUAUAAAUAUUGUAAUAUUUUAGCUCAUUUCCCAAAACUUCAAUACGCCCAAACUCUCAAAUAAUUAAACUCUUCUCAAAAUGAAUUUGAAGAGGAAGAGAAAAACUUGAUGCUGAGGACAGAAAUAAAGCCCUCUAUUUAUAGCUUCAUUUUGUGCCCUUUUUCAAUUAAAAUAAUUAUUAUAUUAUUAUAUUAUUUUUUUCUUCGCCCUGAACACUGCGGCACCUCUUUUUCUUCCUUUCUUUUUUUUUUUUCUUUUGUUCCAGUCAAAGAAGAAAGCCACUCCUUCUUCAAAAUGGGCGGGCUCGACUUCUAGAAGGGUGGUGCCCGCAUGCCAUUUUUGUCAUUCUCCCACUUGGAGAUUUGAUUGCGAGACAAUCAUAUCUCCACACUAUCAUUUUUGUUUCGCCAUUGUCAUUGCUUACGUCUCUGCUAGGCCACAAGAUGACCUACUCUAGAUAAACUUGUUUGUAUUGAUCGACUUGAUCAAAACAUCUGUCAGGUUCUCCUUAGUAUGGAUUUUCUGCAAAUCCACACUUUCAUCUUCCACUAUUUCACGAAAGAAAUGAUAUUGUACCCCUAUGUGCUUUGUCUUGGAAUGAAAGAUUGGAUUCCUUGCAAUAUGCAAGGCACUUUGACUGUCACAAAACACAGAAAUUUUCUGUUGUUUGUGCCCGAGCUCCUUCAAUAAAUUUUGUAUCCAAAUAGCUUCCUUACAAGCUUGUGUAGCUGCCAUGUACUCUGCUUCUGUUGUAGAUAGAGCCACAACGGUCUGCAGUUUCAAAACCUAGCUUACAACUCCUUCUGCAAGUGUAAACAUAUAGCCAGUAGUUGAUUUUCUUUUAUCAAGAUCUUCUGCAAAAUCUUAAUCUACAUAGCCCCUAAUAGUAAACUCUGAUCUUCCAUAACAUAAUACAACAUCUGAGGUUCCUCUAAUAUAUCUUAAAAUCCUCUUCACAACUAUCUAAUGCUCUUUACCAGGAUUCGCCAUGUAUCGACUGAUUGCUCCCACUGCUUGUGCAAUGUCUGGUCUAGUAUAUAUUAUAGCGAACAUCAAACUUCCCACUGCUGAUGCAUAUGGUACUCGAAACACUUCCUUCCUCUCUGUUUCGUUGCUAGGACACAUACUUGAGGAAAAUUUGAAAUUAAUAGGAAGUGGGGUAGAAAUUGACUCACAAUCUUGCAUGUUGAAGCGUCGUAAGAUUUUCUUCAAGUAAUUCUUUUGAGAAAGCCAAAUCUUCUUGUUAUUUCUGUCUUGGUGAAUUUGCAUCCCUAGAAUCUUAUUUUUUGGUCCCAAGUCCUUCAUUUCAAACUCCCUAGCCAAUUGUGCCUUCAAUUCUUGGAUUCGAUCUUUGUUGGGGCCUGCAACCAGCAUGCCAUCCACGUACAACAACAAAAUAAUGAAAUCAUUAUUUUCAAAUCACCUGUAACAUGUACAAUGGCCUGAACUGAGUCUGUUGUAUCCAAGGCUCAUGAUGAAGGAAUCAAAUCUCUUAUACCAACAGCUCGGUGCCUGUUUGAGACCGUAUAGAGAUUUGUUCAACCUGCAAACCAAGUUCUCUUUUCGUUUUUCAGCAAAACCUUCUGGUUGGAGCAUAUAAAUUUCUUCUUCAAGUUUUCCAUGAAGAAACACAGUUUUCACAUUGAACUACUCUAGAUGUAGGUCAAAUGUAGCACACAUCGCCAAGACUACUAUGAUUGUUGUAAGUUGAACCACCGAGAAAAAUAUCUCGUUGAAGUCAAUACAUUCUCUCUAAGCAUAUCCUUUCACUACUAAUCUUGCACGAUAUCGCUCCACUUAGUCAUUGCCAUCACACUUGAUCUUGUAGACCCAUUUGUUUCUAAUGACUUUUCUUCCACGUGGUUGUGGUACAAGUUCCCAUGUCUUAUUCUUGUGUAGAGCUUCAAUUUCUUCAUGCAUUGCUGCCAUCCACAAAGUAACAUCUGAGCUGUUUAAAGUUUCAUGGAAAGUUGAUGGCUCUCCAUCCACUAUUAAAAGACAAUAUGCAACAUUGAUCUAUGUGACAUAACCUGAGUGCCACACUGGCGGUCGUCUCUCACAAGUUAAUCGACAAACUUCUAGAGCCUCGGACUCGAUUGGUUCUUGUUCCUCAUGCUCUGGUGCUGCUUCAGAAGAAUCUGAAUCUUCUGGAUUAUUUUCCACAUAUAUCGGCACAGUCUCUGACUUUUCUUUUACAGUGUUAUCAUCCAUAUCUCUCAUUUGCAGUUAAUCUUUUUCAAAAAUAACAUCUCUACUGAUGACGAUCUUGUGAGCAGUGGAGUCCCACAGACGAUAACCCUUUACUCCAUCAGCAUAUCCCAAGAAUAUGCAUCUUCUAGAUUUUGGAUCCAGCUUUACUCUUUCUUGUGCAUUGUACAUCACGUACAGGACAUCCGAAUGCAUGUAGGUGCGAGUAAUCUGCUGGCUUUCCAGUCCACAUCUCCAUCAGAAUCUUCAACCCAAUUAUCGUGGAUAGCGACCGAUUUACUACAUAAUAGGCAGUUUUGGUUGCUUUUGCCCAGAAUGAAUUAGGUAGACCCACAGUUCUCAACAUAGAUCUUAUUUUUUUUUGUAAGAUUUCUGUUCAUCUGCUUCGUCACUCCAUUUUGUUGAUGAAUGUAUGCCACCGUGAACUACCUCUGAAUACUUUCUUACUUAUAGAAAGUAAGAAACUCACCGUCUGUAUAUUCUCCACCAUUAUCUGUCCUCAAGCACUUUAUCAUCUUCCAAGAUUCAAGUUCUACAUAUGCUUUGUACUGUUUGAACACUGGAAACACAUAUGAUUUUUUUCUUAAUUGGAUACGCCCAACAUCUCCUGGAAUUAUCAUCAAUAAAAAUCACCAAGUACUUUGGACCUCCCAUGGACAUAUCUAGUGAUUCCCAAACAUCAGAAUGAACAAAGUCUAGAAUGCAUUUACUUCUGGCUUCAGAUCUUAUGAAUUUCAAUCUAUACUACUUACUUGUAACACAUUGCUCGGGAAACGGUAAGUUCACCGACUUGAGCUCCGAAAGAAAUUUUUACUCAGAGAGAAUCUUCUAACCUUACUUUGACAUAUGGCCGAGUUUGAGAUGCCACAUCAUCGUUGAUUCUUCUCCAUUCGACGCGACACACGCAUAAGCUUCCUGUGGUGUUUUUUUUUAAAGCAUGAAUAGAUUAGCAACGAUCUUUUCCGCCCUCAUCAAUACAAGCGCGCCUCUUGUAAUCUUCAUGAUCCUAUUUUCAAUAUGGGUUUUGCACCUAUGACUAUCUAUUUGUCCCAAAGACAAUAGAUUAUUCUUCAGGCCUUUGACAUGUCGUACCUCCCCAAUUGUGCUAAUUGUGCCAUCAAACAUUUUUAUUUUAAUAGUACCAAUACCAGUGAUCUCCAAGGCAUGAUCAUCUCCCAUAUAUACAGAUCCUCUUGAGAUAUGUUCAUAUGUGUGGAACCAUUCUCUCCGAGAGGUCAUGUGCCAGGUAGCUCCUGAGUCUAUGACCCAAAUAUCAGAUAACUGUUUUCUACCUUUUGAAACAGUUGUUGCCUCGCCGUAGAGAACUUCGUCAUCAUCCGAGGUACUUGCUACACACCCCUAAGCAUUAGGUUCUUUACCCUUUCUUCUCUUCUGGUUGUUCCAACAUUCCUCUUGACAUGCCAUUUCUUGCCACAAUUAUAGCAUUUAAUAUUCUUCUUACUUCUAGAUUUGGAUUUACCAUGAUUGUGACUCCUACUGGGGCCAUGUGCCGUUGAUCUCCCUCUCGUCACCGAUAGCGCUUCUGCUUAUUGCGAACUUACUUGUUUAUCUUCCUUACUUUUCUACCUGCUCUCCUUAUUUAAUACGGAGGCUGCAACAUCGUCGAAAACUAAACUGUUUGCUGGAUUAUUAUUUGUCAGGUUAAUGAUGAGUUGAUCAUAUGAAUCUGGUAGACUUUGAAGUAAAAGCUCUAAACGUUCAUUUUCCUCUAUUUUAUGACCCAACGUUGUGAGUUGGGAAAAUAGAGUCUUCAAAGUAUUGAUAUGGUCGGCCACCAAUGUAGAUUCCGCCAUUCGAAAAAAUAUAGAGUCUCAUUUUUUAAGAAAAUCUUAUUGUGCGGUGAUAACUCUAUGAAAUGAGAGUUAUUACAUCAAUUCUAAACUUGAAUCAAGAUCACUUAGAGAGCAAAUAAGGCGUUUUUAUUACAUUUUGGUUAUAUUUUGCAUAAACAUUCAUUUUAGUUGAGUCUUAAUAAGUUUUGCUUGAAUCAAAGUAAUUUGUGCUCAAAACAGGUGUAUAAUUAUAGAUUUUUAGAAAUCCUUAAUUCAUAAAUGAAUGCUGAGACAUUAGACUAGCAAGAGGAGGAAAGAAGAUGGCCACAAAAGAAGUAAAGAACAAUCGAGAACAAUGCAGUGUUGUAGCUGUUGUUAGAGCAACUAGUGCUGUGGUAAUCUGGGAGCAUUGAGGGAGAAAACUUAAGCGCGGGUAAGCUGCAGAAUUGCGAUCUGCAUGUUUUCUAAUUUAACUCAUGCAUGCUAGGGGUGGGUAAAAUAACCGAUCCGACCCGAUCCGAUCCGAAAUAAAUCGGGUUCAGAUCGGAUCGGAUUGACCAUAAUACCCGAUCGGAUGAAAUGUUGCCAACCUGAUCGGAUCAUAAUCGGAUCGGGUGAAAUCCGAUCCGAUCCAACAACCCGAACGGGUUGGCUUAAAGAAGAAAGUAAACAACCCUCACUGAUUACAACACACAUGCAUCCAGCAACAAGUAGUCAAGCACCAGUGAUGCCACAGAGCACAGGGCAACAGACCACACGCUACACAGCCUCACACACCACACACGUAUACGGCACACAUCACAGAUAUGGAGGCACAAAACCAGUAAAGAUAGAGGCACAAAAACAGUAGACCACACAUUCAACGCACCCAGCCGCACCCAGCAGCCUCACUCCCCUCCCUCACGCCUCACGGCCUCCCCCUCAAGCCUCAACGAGAGACCACACAGCACACACCAACCUUUGCUCCCCUCCCUCACGCCUCAUGGGUCAUUGCCCCACCCUCAAGUCAACACUCAACACCGCCAACGCCAAGUAGAAACACACACACACACACACACACAGCUGCAACCAACACAUGCUUGUCACAAUCACCGCUGACGCCAACCACCAGUCGAUCUACUGCUCAGCGAGGACCGCGACCAGAUAUGCUGCUCCGCGAGGACCGCGACCAGAUAUGCUGCUCCGCGAGGACCGCGACCAGAUCUGCUGUUACCGCCUACCGAUCUGCUGUCUCCGCGCCUCCACACACUUCAUUACCAAGUUUCUUCUCCAAGUUCCAUUCGUAAUCCAGCAAGCGGCAGCCUGAAUUUUUAUUUUGAGUUUGGAUUUUUGAGUUUAGUUCAAAUACGGACAGUUGUAAUGUGUAAUAUAUUAUAUAACAUAUGUUAAAUCAUUGAUUAGGAAUUGUUAACCGAACCCGAUCCGAACCGAAUUAAACCCAAUUUUUUUAUCCGAUCCGAUUCUAUUCGGAUCGGAUCAGGUCGGGUUGUCAAUUUGGGUUGAAUUCAUAUGAGUUUUUGUUCGACCCGAUCAACCCGAAAUCCGAUCGGGUUGAUCCGAACUCGAUUUUGCCCAGCCCUAAUGCAUGCCACAGACUUUUAUUUACCCUAGUUUGCAGUAUAAAAGGAGGGCGCGCACUACAUAAAAGACGGCAAUGAAUUAACAUUGGAGAAAUCGAGAGAAAAAGAAGAAAACAAUCAGAAUUCAAGAGAACCGAGUCUGCAUCAGUGAAGAAUCCAGCAGAGUUAUUUGGAUUCAAUCUUCAUCGUUCUCUACUUAUUCUUUUCUUUACUCUUUGAUUGAACCGAUGUCUUUCGUGACCAAUAUUUUGCUGUUUGUUUUUCUCAUUUAGAAUAUGAACUAGAUUUGCUUGUAGUUGAGUGACAAACAAUCUAAUGGGUUCUUGACUAUUCUUAUGUGUUGUUAUGUCAUUGUUGUAGCAUUUUAUUCUAGUAGUUAUUAUUAAUAUAACUGUUAUUUCGGUUGACCACCCAUUUAAUAGUUCAAGUUAAGAUAGAGCCGCAAAAGGGCAUGUCUUAGGGGAUAUUAUUAGAGUAUUACUUGAUUUUAAUUUAAGUUUCCUGGAUUAAGUUAUCUUGAAUCCCAUAAGGGCUAUACAUGAAGUUAAGAUUUGUGACACACUAGACAUAGGUGCUCACCUUGUAGGGUGGAGAGACUAAAGGGUCAUAAGGUCAUAUCAUAAGUAGAUUAGUAACUGGUCAUUGUUAAUAUAUUUAAGGGUGUGAGAGUUCCAAUACGCGACAGCUGAGGAUGCAGAUUAAUUAUGCCCAGUGCUGCAGCACUUGCCGUAACAAUUGGUGUUAACUUGAUGAAAAACAGUCAGCCUAUAAGGAGAGUUUGAUCAUUCAACUACCAUAGUCUCAAUUGAAUCUUAGACAUAUUUAAUUUAGUUUAUUUCAUUACAAUAUUGUUUUACUUUAUUCUCUCACAAUCAUCAAUUACGAUAGAACCCACUUUACGUUUAUUAACUUCGAACUUAAGUUAGUUUGCACUAUUGUGAUUGCUAUAGCAUUUUGAGUAACAUCAAUCCUUGUGGAGACGAUUUUGAAUAUUCAUCACUUUAUUACUUAUUGUGUAUACUUGCACAUUGGCAUUAGUAGCAUUUGAUUAUAAAAAUUACUAACAUGCGGCGAUGUGGCCUUGUACAAUUUUGUAAGAGUAUCUCAUAUUUCUUUUGCCGUCUUUUUCUCCUACACACUGGAUAACACCCCAUCUGCAAGUGCCAGGUGUAGAUCAGCAAUGGCAUUGCCGUCCAUCUCAUUCCACUUGUCAUCCUCAGUUAUCUCUAUGAGUCUUUCUCUAAUUAUUGCCAAGCAAUUAUUUUUCCUCAAAAUUGCCUGCAUUUUCAUUUUCCAUAAGGAGAAAUUAUUCUCAUCGAACUUUUCAAUUUUAUAUUUACUGCCAUUUUCUUACUAAAUACAGCACACAAGCUAGUGUACCACCCUGAAUAGUUAUGAGUAUGUGUGAAAAUGCACACCAGAAAAGUUCUCAAGAAAGACUGGAGUGGUCACAAUGGUCCCACUUAAAACCCAUACUCCUUAGACUCUUAUCGCCUUUGUGACAAAACUUUUCUAGACUUGUACAAAACCAUACAGUUGCUCUACUUACACCACUAUUCCUUGUUUUGCACUGCCAAAAUUAUUGGAUCGCUUCCAUCGUUUCUCAUUAAUAGUAUCAUAUAUAUAAAUAGUACCAUAUACAUGAAUAGCACCGUAUACGUGAACAAUACCCUUUACGUGAACAGUACCCCGACUCUAAAAAAUACAACCAAUAGCUCUGAAACCACUGUUGGGAAGUUUAUGGGUGAAGCAAAUACGCAACUAAAGUGAAAUUGAGAAAUAAUGAAACACAAAAUCGCACAAGGAUACCAGAAAUUACGUAGUUCGGCUUUUAAUCUACGUCAACGGGCGAAGACAGAAGGAAAAUAUUUUACUAGUGAAAAGGAGUUACAAGUACUGUAGUAUUUUAGAUCAUUUCUCAAAACCCUAAUACACCCAAACCUAAAAUCACUAAACUCUUUUCAAAAUGGAUAUGAAGAGGAAGAGAAAAACUUGAUGUUUAGGACGGAAAAGAAGCCCUCUAUUUAUAACUUCAUUUCUUAUCCUCUUUUCAAUUAAAAUAAUUAUAUUAUUAUUAUAUUUUUUUUCUUCGCCCUGAGCGGUGCGACACCUCUUUUUUUUCCUUUCCAUUUUUUUUUCUUUUAUUCCAAGAAGCAACGCCUCCUUCCUCAAAAUGGACGGGCCCACCUUCUAGAAUGGUCGUGCCCGCAUGCCAUUUUUUGUCAAUUAUUUGAUUUUUUUUAUUUCUUCGGUUCUUAUCGGUUGAACUAAUUUACAUGAUGAGUAGUGCAAUGUGUCCAUAUAUUACAUAUGAGUGGUAAUUUAUCACAAAUACAGUGACAUUUCAUCCAGGAGUGGCUGUCCUUGUUGAUAAAUUGAAAUUAGCGCAAACCUUGAGGACAGACAUGAAAAAAUGAGAACACGAGCAUGAUUGGUGAUGAGAUAUAAUAUAGCUGAACCCCUGCCUUGACUGAUUCAAUACAAAGGGAGGAAAAAAGAAGGAAAACAGGAGCAAGCAAAUAAGAAAGAAGCAAAUUAUAAUCAUGGCUUCUACAGCUGAUCAGGAAGAAGAGACAAAUAAUUUUUCAUAUGCAAUGGAACUGGCAAGUGCCAUAGUGCUACCUGCAGCUAUGCAAGCAGCGGUAGAGCUUGAUGUGUUUGAGAUCAUAAGCAAAGCUGGUCCCGGUGCUAAGCUUUCGGUUUCGGAAAUUGUGGCUCAAAUUCCCUUAAAAGGUAAUAAUCCUGAAACUGCAGCCAUGACGUUGGAGCGGGUGCUGAGGCUGCUUGUCAGCUACAAUGCUCUUCAUUGCUCUUUUGUUGAUGGACAAAGGCUCUACUCUCUUGCUCCUGUUUCUGCAUACUUCGUUCGCAAUAAUCAAAACGGCGCGUCGUUGCGUCCCUACAUGGCCUGGUGUCUUGACAAGGUCCUCAUGGAUGGCUGGUAUAUAGAAUUACUUUUUCUCUUUUCUUUUCUUUGCUAAUUUUAGUAAAUUAAGGAAAAUUAUCAAAACCUUCUAGUUGUAUAUAUCCAAAAAUUAAUCAUUUGUAUCACAUGUUUUGAACCCAUCAAAAUCCGUCAGCUGCUAAAAAGACAGCUAUCUUCAAUUAUUUUAUUUUGUUGUGGUAAAAAACAAAAAAAAAAGCUUAAAGUCCAAGCGUUUUUGAAAUAUGAAAGUAGAAAGGAUUGAUUGUAACAAACAAUUAAUAAAGUAUUCUUUAUCUUGGUUAAUUAUGCGGUCUAAUUUUACAAACUAAGCUUCUAAAAUUGUUACUAACUGUGUUUGGAUUUUGGAAAAUUCAGGUUUCGGUUGAAAGAGCAAAUUCUUGAAGGAGGAAUGGCGUUUAAUAAAGUGCACGGAAUGGAUAUGUACGAUUACAUGGGCGUUGACUCAAGAUUCAAUGAUGUUUUCAACAAUGGAAUGUCAAGCCACACUUCUGUCGUCAUGGAGAAGGUCCUAGAAUCAUACAAAGGCUUUGAGCAUGUUAAGAAGCUUGUUGAUGUUGGCGGCGGCUUAGGAGCUACUCUUAACAUGAUAAUUUCUAAAUACCCUCAUAUUAAGGGUAUUAAUUAUGAUUUACCUUAUGUUAUUAAAAAUGCCCCAUCUUAUCCUGGUAUGUUACUUACAAAAUUUAUAAAGUAUUUUUGUUAAUGAUUCAUUGAGAUACACGAUAGCUAACAAUUUUUUUUUUUUUUUUUUUUAAUUUCAGGCAUUGAACAUGUAGGUGGAGACUUGUUUGAAAGUGUUCCUGAGGCAGAUACCAUUUUCAUGAAGGUUAUAUGUGUGUGUUAUUUGAAAUCAUCGUUAUAAGGAAAAAUCAAAAAUUGAUAUAGGGUGAAUCACACUUUUUCCCCUAAUAUUUUGUGGGUUGACUUUGGCCCGUUACUCAUUUGGUAUUAAAAUUUUCACAAAAACACUUAAAGGGAAUACCAAAUAUUAUGAAAACAGUAAAAAAAAAAAGGGGGGGGGGGGGGGGGGGGUGUAAAACUGUCUCUCUCUUUCUUUUUCUCUAGUUGUAAAGGGGUGGCCAAAGCCCAAAUUGAUUAUUUAAAAACCACUGGACUAGCUCCUGAUGCAAAGUGUCAAUCUUUCUGGAUUAUAUACCUACGUUUUGUUCAAUAAUAUAAAUUGAUCAUAGAUAUUCAGAUUAAUAGAUCUAAUGAGAAUUAACAUGAAUAUUAAACUUUUGCAGUGGGUCCUUAAUGGUUUUGAUGAUGAGCAGUCCUUGAAAUUGUUGAAAAAUUGUUACAAAGCUCUUCCGGAUGGUGGGAAGUUGCUUAAUGUUAAUGCAGCAUUUCCAGAAGUGCCUGAGAAUAGCGCGACUUCAAGGGAGAUCUCCCUCUUGGAUACAAUUUGUUUAAUCCAAGUUCCUCAUGGAAGAGAGCGGACCAAACAAGAAUACAGUGACUUAGCAAUCAAAGCUGGAUUUAAAGGCGUCAACUACGAAUAUGGUGCAUGCAAUUUAUAUGUUAUGGAAUUCCUCAAAUAAUAAAUUGCUUUACUUGUACUAGGAAAGGUCUUCUCAACUCUCUUUGGGGAGUUACAAUUUCUGGUUUGUGUUAAUUUUUCUCUUAUGUACUCUUUUUCAUCCUAUAAGCAUCUGUCUCUUUAAGGGAGAUUGACUGCCUUGUAAGGUAGCUCUUAUGUAAUAUUUUCCAUUUUUAUUUUUACUGUUGCAGCAUGUGAUACCUUUUUUUUAUCGAGGAAAAAAAUAGUGUAUUCAUCUUACAUUGUUAUUUUUUUCUUUUUUAAGUUAUUGCAAAGUUAUGUUGUGCAAAAAUCAGCAAUAUAUAAUUAAUAAUUUAAUGUAAUAAAGUUUGAUUUUUGAACGUAGUAAAAUAUACAGUAACUGAAUCGAAUAAAAUCUGAAAAAAUAUUGAAAAUGGAUUAUAGAGAUAUUAAUUUUUCAUUAAACAACUACUGAGAGCUAAUGAUGUAGGGCGUUAUUUUAAAAAUUUUAAGAUUUUAGAAUUUAUUAUUUUAGAACUUUAUAUUUUAAUUAGAGUAAUUUUGGUAUUUUAUUAAUUUACUACUUUCUAUUUUCAUUAGAGUCAAUUAAGUUAUGAGAUUUAGUUAACUUAGGAAAAUACCUUUUUAUUUCCAUUAUAAUUAUGAUUUAGUUUCCUAUUUUUAAGUUAACUUAGGGAAAAUAUAUUUUAUUUUUAUUAUAAUUAUGAUUUAUUUUUUCUUUUUGAGUUAGCUUAAAAGAGUGAGUUUCUCUAUUAUAAAUAGAGAGAUCUUAUCAUUAUUCUAUAAACUUUUAUUCCAAAAUUUAUUUACUCUAUCCUCUUUACAAUUCCUCUUCGUCAACUAAUAUAGAUCAAAGGGGUUAAAAAAAAAAGGUAGAAGUCUUUCGAAACAAGUGACAGAUGACAACACAAUCAGAAUAGAAGUAAAUAACAUAAGUUAGCACUGGCAAAAGGAUUUCCAGCGUUUCGUCUAAGGCACAAUAGACCCAACGGUUGAUAGAACAAAACAAAUAGUUGAUUUUUGUAAUUAUUGUGAAUAUAGUCUUUUGUUUUACAACGCAUUAAAUAUGUUUAUAUAUUUUUUGUAAAAGUCAAGCAAUGAGAUGUAGAGAACGAUUAUUGUUUUCACCAUAUCGAGUACCUCAAAGAUUAUCUCAAAUAUUUUUCAUGUUCUGUCUGCCUUCUAGAGGUGCACAGUGAUGGGUGAAAAGAGGAAAAUGAAAAAAGAUUUAAAAAAAAAUUAUAACUUCCUUUAAUGCGGGGUCGUUUUGGUUCGAUGUGUGUUGAAAAUUUUUUCGGGUGCUAGCUGUCGCUAUCUCCGACUUCAAAAAUCUUGUCUUAAAAUAUUAAUAUAGGCCCCAAGCCUAGGGAUGGCAAUGGGCACCGUCCGCAGCGGGUUUGCCAUUACUAAACCCAAACCCGCACAAAAUUUAAAUUACCAAACCCACCAGCAACCCGCAACGGAUUUUAAUUUUUUUUUAAAAACCCACCCGCAGCGGGUUUUAACAAUUACCAAACCCGCAAUGGUACCCGACGGAUUUUUUGCGGGUUUCCGUAUUUAAAAUCACAAAUGUUUAAUAUAUAAAUUUAUAAUAAUAACCUCAAAUUCCAUAUAACACACUCAAUUUUAUAUUUAAACAAUGUAAAUGAAAAAUUAAAAUUUCCACAUUAAUCCAACACAAAUUCUUAAAUUUAAGUAUAAAUUACACAAAUUCAUUUAAAAAACACAAACUAGUAUCUAAAAAUAAUAAUUACAUUUCAUAUUAUCAUUUAAAACAAGCUCCAAGAGAAGAUAUUCAUUUCAUUCACUACUAUAAGCACCCAUCCAACACAAUGCCUAUAAUAAUAAUUAAGAUUAAUAUUUUUAAAUACUAAUUCGAAGGAAAAUGCCUUUAGUUUUCUUUAGGUUAUGACUUUAGAAUGAGAGAUGGGCCACAUACACGCAUACACAACUUUGAACAUUUGGCUAUUUGGUAAUUUGAAUAAUGACAUUAUUUUCUUUAUAUAUUUUUAGAUUAAAAUUAAAUUAAAAAUAUUUGGAAAAAAUAUUACGGGUUUGGUGGAUAUCCAUGCGGGUAUCCACCGGAUAUAAGGUUAAUACCAAACCCACCCGCAUCCAUGUGCGGGUUUUAGUUUAUAAUACUAAACCCGCCCGCAACGGAUAAAAUUACCCGCAGCGGGCGGGUUUUGGCGGGUGGGUUUGGACGGAUUUACGGGUUUGCGGGUAUAAUUGCCAUCCCUACCCAAGCCCCCAUCCACUUUGCCUCUGUGAUUAAGAACCUCAUUCUUUGUCUUUUAGCUAACCCACCGCUGCUUUAUAAGUCGAUAAUUUUGUUUUUUGUUUUUCUUUUUUGUGUCAACUCAAUUGAAAGCUCUGCCCACUUGUAGAAAAAUCCCAUAAUGGGUUCCACUAGGUUACAGCAGUGGCACGUAUAAUUUCUUUUUGUCUUCUGUGACAUAUUUUCAUGUAACCCCUCUUAUUUAUUUUUAUUUAAUAUUUAUUCCAUAAGUAUUAAGUUAAUUUCUACCUACACUUACAGCUACAUUUCGGUUAGCUCUUUAUACUAUUUUAUAUUUACAGAUAUUUUGUUCAAUGUUGCACAUGUAUCACAAUGCCCCCUCUUUAUUAUUUUGAAGUUAAAUCAUUGACAUGUUUAAUUUAAAACCUUACACUCCUUUUUAAUCAUAAUCUUUUUAAAUAUUAGGGUUUUUUUUUUACAUUUACUACCAAAUUUCAUUUAACACCUUACAUUCUUUUUAUUUCGAUUUUUUUUUAUAAAUAUUAUGAUAAUUUUUUCUUGUAUUCAUAACAAAUUAUAUCAUCUCAAUAGUUCUAUUACAAAAAGUAUUAUAGUUUUUCACACUCUUAUUUUUAUUAUGUUAUUUAAUUCAAGUAUUUUUAUAUUAUGGGUGCAUUUAUAAGUUAUAACUACUUUUUCCUUUAUUUUCAUCAUUAGACUUAUAACUGUUUUUUGCUAUAUUCAACCUCUAGACUUGUGAUUUUGUUAGUAAUCAUGUGUUGUUUACUGUUAUAUUUUUUAUUAGACCAAUAAUAUUUUCUAGGUUUUGUAUGGUUUAUCAUGUAAUUUUACAUGUAACCAUAUACUUGUUUUACCUUGGUCUGGAUUUGGGGAUUUUGCAAUAUUUAUGGACACAUGGUGCAUUGUAAGUGGCUAUAGAUUUUAGCACUUACAAGAUAUAUUAACUAAUAUUAUUUAAACUUAUUAAUAAAAGAAAUUUAAGUAAUUAAUAGAUAUAAUUAUUAUUAUUAGAAAAUUUUAAUUUAUUAUAAUUUAAUUUGAUCAUCAACUACUGUAUCAAUUUGGCAACCGUAUUAAGCAAACAAUGAGGCAAAUCUUAGUGUUACUUUAUUAUAAUUGUUAAUGUUAACUACAAUUUUAUGUGAACCUGAGUAGCUAGAAAAUAUAAAUAUGAAUUAGUUUGUAAUAGAACUAUUAGGAUUACAUAAUUUGCUAAGCAUGUAAGUAAAAAGUACUAUAAUAUUUAUUAAAAAAUUUGUAAUAUAAAGAGUGUAUAGUAUUAAAUGAAAUUUUAUAGUGGAUUUAAAAAAAUCCUAAUACUUAAAAAAAAAAAGAGUUUAAGGUUCUAAAGUAAACAUGUCAAUUAUUUAAUAUCAAAACAGUAAAGAAGGGGUAUUGUUAUACAUGUGUAAUAUAGAAUAAAAAUUUAUAAAUAUUAAAUAUGUAAGGUGCUAAUUGAAAUGUGUCUAUGGAUGCAGGUAGAAAUUAACUUCGUAUUUAUGAAGUAAAUGUUAAAUAAAAAUGAGUGGAAGGGGUCAUAUGAAAUAUUACAGUGUACCGCCACAAAAGACAAAAUAAGUUCCACGGUACUCCUUAUGUAACAUAGCUGAACCCUACUUUUAAAAAGUAUUAAAAAUUGUAACUAAUUUUAGUUUACGCCAGCUGGAAUUUGUAGAAGCGAAUUCCAAUCAUGCCUGGUGUGCAAUUAAUAACAUGUGGGCGAAGACAAUUUGGGAGCUUGGAACUCUCCAAACUCCAAUGAGAUAAUAAAAUAUGUUAGUUAAUCAGGCUUUUUAAAUUUGAAUAGCAACAUCAAGUAUGUACAAAUGAAAGAAAUUUGCUGAGGGGGCUCCAGUAAGACGGAUGUGAUAGCUAAGUCCUCAUAAUUCAAUUAAAAAUUUCUAAUUUUACUGAAAUGAAUCAAUUAGUUGUUUAAAUAACAUGGAGUUUUAUAAUUGGGAUAAAUUAAUGAUACUAGUAAGCAUCUUUUGGUGAGAUGUCAUUUUUGAAAUUGCUCAAUCAUUAAUUCGGACAUCAUUGAUGGGGCUUGAGAAUGAGAUUUUAGCCUCUCUUAAAAAUUAUAUAUCACCACUUGAGUUAUUAAUAAAUUUUUUAUAACUCAUUUAAUUUUUUAUAUAAAAAUAAUACAAUAUUUAAAAAAAAAACAUAAUUGAAGUGUUAAUGUAAAUUCUUGACAAACAAAACAAUCUAGUUUUAAUUUGUGGAUAGGGUUUUCAUAUUCAGUUGCGGACCUAAAAAUUUUUUAAAACCCUUUGAGUUUUUUUUUUGUUUUUUAAAUUUUCCUAUAAUAAUAUAUAUAUUUUUUUAUUUUUUUAUAUAUGUCCCCAAUUUAAUUUUUUUUAAGAUUAGUGUUAGAGACUUAUUUUAUAAAUAAUUAAAUUAUUUGUCUUGAAUGAAUUGAAAGGUUAAAAUAUCAUUACCACUUUAACUUACAAAAAUGGUUAUUAUUUGGUCUAAUUGAAAGAAAAAUAUGCAUUAAAAAAUUGCCACUGUUUUUGAAAACUUAGAAAAUGUCAUAUAUUAACAACUAGCAAUAUUUUCAUAAUUUCAUGGUUUAUUUCCUUCACAAUCAUACCUUCGCUUUUUCUUUUCAUUAGAUCAAAUUAUUUAAAUAUGUUACCUUCUCUAUUAAAUGAUUAACAAUGAAUUUCAUAAAUAUUUUUAUAGCACAAUUUUAGUAAUUUAUAAUAUAAGCUUAUUUGUUGUACUGUUGCUGUUUAUUUCAUCAAGUAUAUGUAUUUUAUUAAGAUUUUUAAUGUUGUGUUACUUUGCAUAGCUCGUUAUAUGAAUUUUUUCACUCUUCUUCAUGUACUAACUGUUAUACAAAUUUUAAUGUACUCGCAAGUAUACAAGUCUACUGGAGCAUAGAUUAAGAAUAACAAGGUUGAACCCAUAGGAUUGUUAAUUUUUUAAAAGAAAAAUCUAAUCUAAGCUAAUUAUAACUCUACCCCAGUUGAGAAGAAACUACUGUGAAAAUAUAAACAAAAAAUACAAGAAAAUUAAAAUCCAGAAAAUUAAUACAAAACUUAAAAGAUUGAAGUUACUAGGAUUGUAGAAUUGAACAAUUCAACUUAAUAAUUUUCUAAUUACCAAUCAAUUUCUAAAUCUAGAGUGACAACAAAAAAUCAAUCUAUAUCUAUUUAUAGAUAUAACAAUUAACUCCAAAUAAAAUUAAUCUUAUAUAAAUUCUUUUUCCGCUUAAUAGUGUAGUAUCUAAGCAUCCCAUGUAAAUAAUAUUGAAUAACAAAGAUUCAAAAUUUUUCUAAGCAUUAUGUAUAAAUAAUUUAAUAAAAUAAAAAAAUAAUCACAUGAACCUUAGAGACCUAAGCAUAGGUUUAGUCAAAUAUUAAUUUUAACAAUAAAUAAUGUAUGACAGAAUUGUAAGAAAAAAUAACACAGUGAGAUAACAAUUUAAACAGUAGUUAAUUUAAACAACAAUGUAAACCAACAAUCGAAAACAACAAAUGAAGAAUAGAAGAGUAACCGAAACAGAAUUCAAUAUAUGCAAUUAAAUAGUUAAUCUUACUCAUGCAUGGUUAAGUGUUAAUAUAUAAACACUAAUCCCUAGGCUUAUUUUUCCCAUGUGGGAUAAGCCUCAUUUCCUUUCAAAUUUCCAACUUCAAGGGUGAACUUUGAGAGACAAUUUCUCAUUCACCCAAGCACCAUUUUGAGAAAAUAAGAUUAUACUUUUAAAGAAUCAACGGAGUAGAAUCCAAACCUCAUAAGAUUUUCCACUUUCAUUAAGUGGGACCCACUCAAAAUGUGCCCUCAAAAUAACAUAUAUACAUGCUAUUUUUUCAACAAGAAUUAGUGAAAAGAUUUAAUAAUAUCUAACUAAACAUAUAAAACAAGAACCAUAGGUAUUAAAGCUCAUAUAUAGAGAAUUAAUUAAAAAAGUAAUUUAUUUUAUUGAGCAGUUAUCAUCACUGACCAUAGUAUAAACACCAGAAAUAAUGCAUGACAGAAUUCCCCUAAAAAUAUCCGAUGGAUUCAUUCUUCAAAGAGUGUGGUCAUUGCUAAAUGUACAAGAUGAUAGUUGGUAGUUGUUGUCUAGUAAUAUGUAGAUCCCAAAUUGAAAUUGAUUUAAAAUCUAGGAGGGAUUAUCGCUCCUGCAAAUGUUUUAUUUUAAAAUUUAUCUAUUUAAUCCAAUGACAAAUAAGUUUUUCUCCCAUCCGUUUUAACAGUUCGAACAAAUAUUUUGUUUUCAGUUCAAGAAAUUUUAUCAAUUACGUUAAUAAUUAGUCCUAACAUGAUUAUUUGAUUUUUUUUUAUUUCUUCAGUUCGUAUUGUUUGAACUAGUUUACAUGACGAGUAGUGCAAUGGGUCCAUAUAUUAUAUAUGAAUGGGAAUUUAUCACUAAUAUAUUAUAUAUGUGUCCAUAUAUUAUACUAUUCGUGGUCAAUAGCUGUAGCCAGGAGUGGCUCUCCUUGUUGAUAAACUGAAAUUAGCGCAAACCUUGAGGACAGGCAUGAAAAAAUGGGAACACGAGCAUGAUUUGUGAUGAGAUAUAAUAUAGUUGAACCCAUGCCUUGACUGAUUCAAUAGAAAGGAGGGAAAAAAGAAGGAAAACAGGGGCAAGCAAUAAAGAAGAAGCAAAUUAUAAUCAUGGCUUCUAUAGCUGAUCGGGAAGAAGAGACAAAUAAUUUUUCAUAUGCAAUGGAACUGGCAAGUGCCAUAGUGCUACCUGCAGCUAUGCAAGCAGUGGUAGAGCUUGAUGUGUUUGAGAUCAUAAGCAAAGCCGGUCCUGGUGCUAAGCUUUCGGUUUCGGAAAUUGUGGCUCAAAUUCCCUUAAAAGAUAAUAA
rnacentral:lncRNA from 1 species